rnacentral:rRNA from 1 species
AUACGGAGGGUGCAAGCGUUAAUCGGAUUUACUGGGCGUAAAGCGCGCGUAGGCGGUUUGGUAAGUCGGAUGUGAAAUCCCAGGGCUCAACCUUGGAACUGCAUUCGAUACUGCCUCACUAGAGUAUGGUAGAGGGAAGUGGAAUUCCGGGUGUAGCGGUGAAAUGCGUAGAUAUCCGGAGGAACAUCAGUGGCGAAGGCGACUUCCUGGCCCAAUACUGACGCUGAGGUGCGAAAGCGUGGGGAGCAAACAGGAUUAGAUACCCCGGUAGUCC